rnacentral:rRNA from 1 species
GACGGAGGAUGCAAGCGUUAUCCGGAAUGAUUGGGCGUAAAGCGUCCGCAGGUGGCAGUUCAAGUCUGCUGUCAAAGACCGGGGCUUAACUUCGGAAAGGCAGUGGAAACUGAACAGCUAGAGUAUGGUAGGGGCAGAGGGAAUUCCUGGUGUAGCGGUGAAAUGCGUAGAGAUCAGGAGGAACACCGAUGGCGAAGGCAGGUCUCUGGGCAUUAACUGACGCUGAGGAGCGAAAGCAUGGGGAGCGAACAGG